rnacentral:rRNA from 1 species
AUUGAACGCUGGCGGCAGGCUUAACACAUGCAAGUCGAGCGGAGCGAGGGUGCCUGCACCUUAUCUUAGCGGCGGACGGGUGAGUAAUGCUUAGGAAUCUGCCUAUUAGUGGGGGACAACAUUCCGAAAGGAAUGCUAAUACCGCAUACGUCCUACGGGAGAAAGCAGGGGAUCUUCGGACCUUGCGCUAAUAGAUGAGCCUAAGUCGGAUUAGCUAGUUGGUGGGGUAAAGGACUACCAAGGCGACGAUCUGUAGCGGGUCUGAGAGGAUGAUCCGCCACACUGGGACUGAGACACGGCCCAGACUCCUACGGGAGGCAGCAGUGGGGAAUAUUGGACAAUGGGGGGAACCCUGAUCCAGCCAUGCCGCGUGUGUGAAGAAGGCCUUAUGGUUGUAAAGCACUUUAAGCGAGGAGGAGGCUACUGAGACUAAUACUCUUGGAUAGUGGACGUUACUCGCAGAAUAAGCACCGGCUAACUCUGUGCCAGCCGCCGCCGUAAGAC